GGGGGAAUAUUGGACAAUGGGGGGAACCCUGAUCCAGCGACGCCGCGUGAGUGAAGAAGUAUUUCGGUAUGUAAAGCUCUAUCAGCAGGGGAAGAAAGAAAUGACGGUUACCUGACUUAGAAGCCCCGGCUAACUAC
rnacentral:rRNA from 1 species